UCCAGGACCUAGCAGCUGGGUGCUAGGUAUCAGGCCAGGCAGGAAGACUGGUGCGGAGGACCCUUGGACGGUUAGGAAUCGGGACACGGAGGGGAGAGCGAGGAUUCAACAGUCCUGCAGCUAAGGUCUGCAUCCAAGCCGGCAAGCCCGCCUCAAAUAGGCAACGUCACCCAGCGGCUGUCAACUCGACCCAUGCUCAGCACUGACAGGCCUGCCAAGGACCCAGAACUGCUGAAGUCAAAGUUUAGCUGUGCCAAGCCCUCCCUGCCCCCUAACUUGGGCUCUCAAGGGAGACCUCUCUGCAUUAGGCAGUAGGAGUCCAGGAAGCAGAGACCAUCGGAAGCAGCAGUGAAACGAUAAUGAAGAUCUGAAAAGGUUCCAUCCAUCCCCCUCCACUUCCCCUUCUCCCAAUCCGGGCCUCACUUUUUCAAGGGCCGGCACAGGAAGCAUUUAGUACACGCCAAACAAAUUUGUUAGAUUUUUAAUAAGAACAUGGAAAUCCCAAUCAGCCCUUCAACAAAAUUAAAAUACAGAAAGUGAAAUUAAAAGUAUUCUACAGUAAAUGACUUUUAUUAAAAAAAAAAAGUAAUUGUGAACAUAUAAACAAGCCUGCAGGGCACUACAGUACAGCUGGAAAGAAGAUACAUUUCCCAAUGUACCUAUGGGCCAAUAAACUCCAUCAUUUUCAAAUAAAUUCUUAAUAAAA